GCAGCAGUUCUGUGCUCCAUAGCAGGAAGCCAAAAGCAAAAGAUAUUUUAGAUUAACAAAUGAGGUGGAAAUGACUUUUCCCCCCAAGGACUUAUUUCCCAUGAGAAAACGAGUUUCUGAGAAAAAAAAAAAAAAAAGGCUCUAAAAAUAGGUUGUGUCACAGAAUUCUGAGGCUGCAUCUCCUGCAUCCCUGAUGGAAAGCUCAGCUCCCAGGAGAGGCUCAGGAGAGCAGCAACACUUGGAUGGUUUGGGAGCAGCACCAGGGCAGCAGCGUGGGUGUGUGGGGACGUGCAGGUUAAGUGCCUUUCUGGAAGUCAGACUCUCUUCUCCAGGACAUAAUCCAAGAAGAACCCAUGGAGACAAGAAUGGAGCCUUGGCUCCUCUUCAUAUCACAAGUAUUACUCAUGAAGGAGAAUUUUCAGGUUUGAAAUUCAAGAUGUCCUGUAAGGCUUCCUUCUCCAAACUCAGCUCCUUUGGGCAGGGAUCACCCUGAGGAAUGGCAGAACUGCUCUGAAAUUUUGUGUAUUAUGCUAUAAAAAAAUUUAUUUGAAACAUUCUGAGAGGAGAAAAUGGAUUUAGCCUGAGAACUGAAGAAAAGUUUCUUUUCCAGAGUGUUUAAAAACUGCCAGUAUUUCCUCACAUACACUGGAUUCCCACUGACACAAAUAAUUCCAGCUGUGAUCAAGGCAGCAAAACAAGGCACCUCCUCAGCUCACACGAGUGUGCUGCCUUCCUGUGCAAAUGAGGGAGCUGUGCUAAUUACCAGCUCCCGUCCCUUGUUAUCAAACUCCUGCUAUUUGUGCACACAGAUGAAUCAAGUGCCUGUGGAUGUGGGACAGAUGCUUGCAAGUGCUCUGUGAAUGUACAAUCACAUUUCUAGCUCCUUCAAGGGAAGUAGAACCUGGAACUGAAACACAAACUGCAGUUAAAUUUCACCCCCCAAAAAAAUCUCACGAAUAUUGGAUGAUUGUUUAGUGGUUGUUAGUGCUUAAAAUUUUAUUUCCUUCCAGGCAAGGAAGGAAAUAAACAAAAUUUCCUUUCCUAUGAAAAUGUUUUAUCAUAACAUUUCAAUUUAGCUGGUAAAAGAGGUUUUUAAAAAUGUUGCUUUAUGCAGCUGUAAACCUGGUUAUUAAAUAAUCCCAUAAACUCAAAUAAUUAAAAAUAUAGUUGCUGGAUUCCAUAAACUCAUAAUUGAAACUGUUGUUGGGCAAUUCUGAAAAAUGAGCUGCAAAACUUUAAAAAAAGUUUUAACUGGUAUAAACAAGAGCACCUGACAUUCAGGCCUCCUACAUAUUCAAAUAAAGACAUUAUUAUUCAAGUACUAUUUGUACUGAAGUAAUUCCCAGGCUUCCAGUCACAGAGAGAGGCAUCUAAAGGGUGUGGCUUUGAUUCCACAUUAACAAUUGAUGGAUGUUUUUUUUGUCAAUAUAACAUUCAUUGUACAUUUAUAAGCACAAAGUUUGGGUAUCUCUGACUAAAAGAGCAGCCACAAAAAUUCUUUUUGGUGCUACAGGUAAAUUUUGCCAAAAAUUAAAAAAUCCCGGCAGAAACCUCACGCAUUCUCCUGUCUCCCUACCCAUAAAGCACAUUUAUUUUGUUCCCAUUUAUUUUGUUCCCAUUUAUUUUGUUCCCAUUUAUUUUGUUCAGAUUGCUCCUCCAGCCAGGUCAGCUUUGCUGUGUUUGGUGGCUGUUGUGAGAGCUGGGGCUGCAGCAAACACAGAACAAGGACCAGAAUUGUGUCUUUCUGUCUCCUUGGCCACAAGAAACUUCAAGAUCCCCAUCAGGUCUUAAAUCUUUUGGCUACAGAAUGAACUUAGGUGACUUUCUCAAACAUUCCCUGUCAAGACUCAUCCCUUAUUUCUUUGAAUCACGUUCACUACUUUGAUGGUAAUAUGGAUUUUUUUCUUCCCCCCCCUAUGGUGAGGGUUCAUUUAGUGACUCAUUUUGCUCUCCUACGUAAAAUAGUUUCAACAUUUUUUUUCUAAAUGCAUAGCUGAUUAAAUCACAAAUAAUUGCUCCUCAGAAAGAACAGUAUUUUAAAUCUUUUAGACUUUCUGCCUUUCAAGUCAGGGAGUUCAAUGAAUCAUUAGGCAUUUCAAUGUAUUAACAAUUUCAGUGGUUUGAACAAUAAAAACCCUGCUCUGUUUAAUUUCCUGCUCUGUUAAAGUUACUUUUGUUCUCACCUAUUAUCUGCUCAACAAAAUUAGUGUUUAGUGAUAUAUGCCCCACUCUCCCAGUGAGGAAUAUAUAGAUGGAAGCAUGUGUUAUAUCCAAAAUAUAGCAGUGAUUUCUAGUUGUUAAAGCCACAAACAGCCUUUAGCUCUGUGUGUGACUCUGACCCCCAGCUGCUGUCCUGGGGAAAGCUCCACUAUAAAGAAUUCCAUCUUGUUUUAUGGAAAACUCCCACAGGUGUGGCAGGGAGAGAAUAAAACCUCCAACUUCCACUGCCAUUGUUAUGUGCGUGCCCCAGGCCCACACACACCAGCACUGAAUUGCCAAUUAGAAAAUUAAAAACUGCUGCCAAGGGCCUGAUGUACUGAAGGGUUGUAUUAUUGGAAAUAAAAAAAACCUCAACUCAC